UCCCCUAACACCUUUCCCUGUGCAGUAAAAGUAAUCAAAUUUCCAAUUCAUCCUCUCUUGUCCCCCCCGCAUCAAGCUUAAUCGAUUCACGAUAAUGUAUCUGAAUACCCUAAUUUCAUAUCAGAACUCCAUGAAUUUUGUUAAUAACCACUUCAACAACAAGCUUUUUGGCGAUCUCUUAUGGCGACUGAAGUUCCAAUUUCGGAACUCCGUUUUCCAUAUUCGGCCCUCAAUGGUUAUUCCAGUAAAGCGUUUUAGCAGCUCGACGUUAUGACCAAAGUAGAGCCUCAGAGGAGUCGAGGGAAGGUGAUCUAACUCGUAAUGAGAAUACCAACUACGUUAAUGGAAGAGGCGUUAUUCAGAGCAGCUGUAAGUGGAGACCUCAGGGUCUUGAGUGAGAGAAACAUUUCUAGCGAGGAAGGGAAAUAAGAAUACGGUGGAUGUACUCAUUUCGUACAGUGGUUGUGCAACCAAAGAGCAAAGCGAAGCCGAGGAAGAUUGGUUUUGGAUGGCCAAGAACUCACAAGGUGAUACACCUCUUCACUUGGCAUUAAGCAGUAACAAGUUGAAUGUAGCUAUGGAUCUACUAAAAGUGGGUUCGGUCAACGUGCUUUCAUUGGUCAAUAAUUCACAGGAAAGUCCUCUACACAUUUUCCUCAGAUAUUGCGCUGGUACACACCCUAUACCUAAUGUGUUAUUGGAGGAAGGAGUGCUGAACUUGCAAGGAUUGCACAUGGCUCAAGGUGACGGGAUUGGGGCCAAAAAAAAAGGUGUCCUAUUAGAACUUCUGAAAUACACACCCACACUCUGCAUUCGUGAUGUGAAUGGGCAAACACCUUUGCUGAUAGCUGCUCAGCAGGGGUGCGUUCUGGCUGUACAGCUUAUAGUCUCACAUUGCCCUCAGUCUGCUGAGAUCUGUGACCCUGAAGGUAGAACUGUACUACAUCUUUUGAAAAAUCUGAUGCUAAAAGUAAAUACAUGGGAGAUGGAAGCUGUUGACUUCCCAUCCGUCAGAUCAUACAAGGAGGUCAAGGAGUUGCUCAGCAUCCCCGAAAUCAAUGCUCUCAAGGACAGGAAGGACUGUCAUGGGAAUACACCUGCUCAUGCAGCGCUCGGCUGCCAAGCUUUUGUCUUGGCUAAAGUCUUAAUGGAAUGCUUGGCUGAUUUUACAAUCUUGAACAAAAAUGGUGACUCGGCAUUAACCAUCAUCGAGUCACUCCCAGAUUUCCCCAUACAAAUGGAGGAACUGAGAGUGACAGAGAAAUCGACAAGAAAAGGAAUGGACAUAGAGCUCCUGCAAGCAGCAUUAGAGGAGGAUGUGAGUUUGUUCAAGAAAAAAGGAGGACGAGAUGUAGAGAGUGGUGAAAUCAAAUAUGAUGAUGAUUAUUUUCUGAGUCAAACUCUUGAAGGAUCUAGCAUCCUUCAUUUAGCUGCCAAUUCUGGCCACCUGAAGUUCAUAGAGGAAGCCGUAAAACAUUUUCCAACUCUUGUUCUUACAACUGACUGUAGUGGUGAAACUCCUCUCCACUGUGCUUCUAGGCUCAAGAGCAAUCACCUUGUUGCAACAACAUUGUUGCGACUCACUAAGGAGACCAUUGACAAGUUCAAGGAACAAGCAGGGGGUAAGCUGGUUCAUGCCUUGCCUUGGAGACAAAAGAAUUCCAAAGGAAACAUGCCACUUCAUGAAGCAAUAUGCUCGAGUAAUUAUGACGCAGCCAUAGCUUUGCUGCAUGUGGAUCCUAAAUUGUUUUUAUUGCCAAACAGAACUGGCGAAACUCCCCUCCACAUUUUGGCAAGAUAUGGCGCUUAUACCACAAUGGACAAGCUAGAGAACCUAAUUGAUCUGCUCAUGGGUCAAAAUGGCAGUCUAAUUGCUUACACACGGGACGCAGAUGGGUUCACCCCUUUAUUGAGGGCUGCUUACUGUGGACGCUUUCUAGUGGCUUAUCAUUUAGUCAUGCUUUGCCCUGCAUCUAUAAAAUUUAGGGAUCCUUAUGGUAGGAUUUUCUUGCACCAUCUAAGGGUUGUAUCUAAUGCUGAAAUUGAUGCCACAAAUGACAUGUUCUAUGCUUUCGAAAGCAUUCUGCCCCUUCUGACAAAAGACCUAAGGAGUGCUCAGGAUUGUGAUGGAAACACACCAUUGCAUUUUGCCUUAAUAGAAAGAAACUUCGCUGCAGCAAAAUUUCUUUUGCUAUGUUGUAUUGAAGCGCAAGUGAGGACCGAGUUAACCAUUACAAAUAACAUGGGCCACUCUGUUUUAGAUCUUUUGGCAGCACUAGCUGCCGAUAUUCCUGGUGCGAACGAGUUGAAAGACCUCGGGUUCCUUGCUCAAAGGAAACUUAAAGAGGCAGCCCGCAGUAUAAAGAUGAUGUCAGCAGAGGUUUACAGGGGUGCAGUAAACGGAAAAGUGGGUUUAUUUUACUGGUGUUCAGAUAUGGAUCCGAUUAGUGGUGCAGUCAAUGACAGUGCAUUUCUUUCUCAAGCGCCUGAUGGAAGUAAUAUUCUCCACAUAGCCAUUCAACAUGGCCAGGAGGCCUUUGUGGAGGAAGCAAUAAAACGCUAUCCAGACUUAAUUUUUGAGGUAGAUUGUAAUGGUAAUACCCCAUUACACAUUGCUUCCAUGUUCUAUGAGGGUGAUUUCAAACACCUACUCGCAUGUGUCGAAGAUCACUGCGUAAAAAAAUUCCAAGAAUCUUACCGUGAACCUUUUAUGCCCCCCUGGAGAGUGAAAAAUUCAAAAGGCAACACCCCACUACAUGAGGCAAUGCAAUCAAUUUUAAGUUGUGAGAGCUGUGAAGCUCUUUUACUCACUGGUCCCGAAAUGAUUCUAUCUGUCAAUGAUGCUGGGGAGACUCCUCUUCAUGUAUUUGCUAGACAUGGCUUAUAUGACGCUGGUGAGGAUAAGAUAGAUACAUUGGAGAUGUUACUCUCCCAGAAUGGCUCCGCUGCGUACACGAGGGAUAAAGAAGGUCUAACUCCUUUGCUAAGAGCAGCCAAGACUGGUCGUCUUCUCGUAGCACUCAUCAUUCUUAAGUAUUACCCUCAGUCAAUACAACUUCGAGAUCUUAAUGGACGUUCAUUCUUGCACCUCUUGCAUUUUACUGGCUUUGAAGUUGAUGAAAGUCUCGAUGAAAAGUUGGCGUAUGCAGGAAUGGCCAAACCAUUUUUUAGGAUUCCAGAAGUAGAUUUCCUCCGAAAUGCGGUGGAUUUUGACGGGAAUACACCUUUGCUUUUUGCCAUAAAGGAGGGAAACUCAUUCAAUGCAAAGUUUAUUGCACAAAGAUUCAUGGAAACUGAUGAGGAUGACACAAUGGGACUGGUAGUAAAGCGUAAUAAUGAAGGUCAAAACGUCUUAGAUUUGCUUGCAUUACAUGAUGAUGCCCCAGAUGAGGUUCUCCGACUUUUAGAGAAAAAAGGAAGGUUUGAAAUGACAUUUGUUCGGAGUACGCAUGGGAUACGCAAGACGCAAAUAAAAGAAAUGGCCAACACCUUAUCAGUGGUUGCAGCACUGUUGGCAACUCUAACAUUUGCAGCUGCGUAUCAAGUACCCGGUGGAUAUGAUGAUGGUGGCACCCCGAUUCUUCUUAGAAAAGCGGCAUUUCAGGUGUUUAUAAUUUCCAACACGUGUGCAUUGUGUGGAUCAAUGGCUGUAUUAUUCUCUCUUCUGUGGGUCAUGUCAACCGGAAAAACUGCUGAUUCUUUCCUUCUACUGGAUCUCUCCAUCUCACUUCUCUUAAUAUCCUUUAAUGCGACUUUGGUGGCUUUUAUGACUGGGAUUUAUGUGGCCUUAUCUCACAAGACUCUCUGGUUGGCUGUCUUCAUCUGCGUAGUAUGUUCUACUGUCAUCGCUUUGAUGAGGAAAUCUAUCAUUCUCCGCAUUACUCGAUUUCUUAGAUUAUUUUACAUUACUUUCUACCAUAUCAAGUCUGGGAAUUACACUGAUGCCAAAGAUAUAACUGAAGGGAUAUCACGUCGUGCUCGAUUAGUGGAAUAACAUAAUGCUGUGUUUGGAUUCAAGGAUUUCAUUUGAAAUCCUGGAAUUGGACAAAUUCUGUGUUUGGCAAACCAAGAAUUUGAAAUGCUGAAUUUGGCCCAAAUCCUUUAACUAAUGUUACAGGCCCAUAUUUGUGUAAUUUGAAAUGACACAAUUUUUGCUGGUAUUUGAAAUUCUUUUAGCAGCCUCAGCCCACUUUUAUUUGUGUUAUUCCCCUUCCCACAAUGUAACUCACUUUCUCCCUCCUCUCCCAAACCCUCUCCGGCUCUCCCUCCACCAACAAAUUAAACCUCACCGUCUCCACCACCACAACUACCUCCACCUCCACCUCCAUCUCUAUCUCUUGAUCUCUUUCUUUCAAUUCGCUCUCUCCUCUGUCAUAUUCAUGCAUCGAGUGCGACCGGCAACGACCGGCGCCACCCACUCUUUGCCGUUGUAAAAACUACCACCGCCUCAACCAAACACGAUUUUCUCUCUCCUCUCCCAAACACACUCGAUCUCUCUCCUCCACCGCCUCAACCACCAGUUGAGGUCGCCGUUUCUUCUUCUCAAGAUUUUCAAUUGAUAAAAUUUAUAGAUUUGAGGAAAUUGGAAGAAAGAUCAGAUUGAAGGCGAUUGAUAAAAUCAGAUUGAAGGCAAUUGAUAAAAUCAGAUUGAAGGAGAAGCAAGCUGGAAGAAAAAUCAGAUUGAAGGCAAUUGAUAAAAUUUACAGAUUGGAGGAAAUUGUUUGAUUUUUGGUUUGGGGGAAUUUUAGGUGUUGAAUUGAUUGAUGGCUAGAAGUUACAGUAAAUUAAAGGAAAAAGAAAAUUAGUUUCUGGAAAUUAAAGUGAAUGAGAUCUUUUAAUUCGAAUGAAGAGACACAAAAUUUGACAUAUUUCAAUUACUCAUGGGUCAACAGACAACAAGAAAAAAGACAAGAAGCAAGAACUAAAAAUUAUAACAAAGAAGCUCCCUCCGAUGAGCCCAAGUCAUGAGUUGGACCGGAAACCGCAAAAUAUUCGAAUAAGGCCAGGAGAUUCCGCAAUUGGAGAGAGGUUAAGUCACCAAAAUUGGAUCAGGGAGAAGAUUCCAAUGUAACAACUAACAAGGAACAACACUAGAUUAGAAGAAUCUGAAUAAAUAAGAAGUUAAGAACUUUAGUGAAACCUCAACGAAUCACCAUAUGAAGGCCCAAAUGACAAGCCAUCAACUCAACCUAAAGCGCAGAACCAAGAAAACAGGCCCGGGCUCCUCCCCCAGAGAUAAAAGUACACAUAGGUUGAUGCAAACACAAGCUAAGCAAGAUUACUUGUACAAGAUUUGACAAGCUAAGCAAGAAAUUGUAAACAAUUGUGCUUUCUUUAAAAAUUGUUUUACAUGAAAAUAUUCCUCGUUUAAAAUAUUAUUCCGUCAAAAUAAAUGAGGCAGGAGGUCAUGGUGAAAUGUUAGGUGAGCUAACCUGACAUAAUUCUGAAAUCAGUUACCCUUAAGUAGUUAGAUAUGUUGUUACUUUGAUAUGUUAGUGUAGUAUAUAAAUACAAUGUAAUCCAUCAUUAUAUUACUCAAUCAAUAAAAUUUACAAAGUUUCCUACUCUUCUCUCUUCUAUCUAUUGUUUUUUCUCUUCUCUUUCUUUCUUAAGAAUUUUGUUUCUCUCUUUCUCUUUUUCUUUCUCUAUCUUAUAUUUUCCUCCAUUAACACAUCAAGUAGUUGAGAAAGGUAUCAGAGCCAAC